rnacentral:rRNA from 1 species
GAGAGUUUGAUCCUGGCUCAGAACGAACGCUGGCGGCAUGCCUAACACAUGCAAGUCGAACGGGAUCCAGACUUCGGUCUGGUGAGAGUGGCGGACGGGUGAGUAACGCGUGGGAACCUGCCCAAUGGUCUGGGAUAACCGCGGGAAACUGCGGCUAAUACCGGAUAAGCCCGAGAGGGGAAAGAUUUAUCGCCGAUGGAGGGGCCCGCGUCCGAUUAGGUAGUUGGUGGGGUAACGGCCUACCAAGCCUACGAUCGGUAGCUGGUCUGAGAGGAUGAUCAGCCACACUGGGACUGAGAUACGGCCCAGACUCCUACGGGAGGCAGCAGUGGGGAAUAUUGGACAAUGGGGGCAACCCUGAUCCAGCAAUGCCGCGUGAGUGAUGAAGGCCUUAGGGUUGUAAAGCUCUUUUGCCAGGGACGAUGAUGACGGUACCUGGAGAAUAAGCCCCGGCUAACUUCGUGCCAGCAGCCGCGGUAAUACGA